CUUUAUAUAGCAGCAGUAGAAGAAGAAAAAGAAGAAGAACGCUGUGGCAGACCGUCGUUUUUCCGCGCUCUAGACAAAUGGUUCGGUUGGAAUUCGGUUUGUGGUCUGUUGGACAUUUACUUGUUCAGGAGUCGAACCCCUUAUCCUGUCCAGGAAUGAGGGGCCGCAGCACCGACCCGCCGCGGCAUGACUACAUGCUAAUCUAUGCUAACGCUCAGGACCGACUGAGCACGUGCACGGAUACCGCGAGCUCUCCCAACCCUCACACGGACAAAGUCAAAGAAGAUGAGGUUCUGGGAGGCAGACACGGUUCUGCAGACUGAGAGCUUUGGACCAGGGUCAACAGAACUGUACCACAGGCACCAGAACUUAUGCGUCAUUCCAGCAUCAUGCUGCUGGCAGAGGGAUUUCAGGUUCCUGCUACUGAACGCUCCAGCAGCAGGAAACUCCAUGCACCAAAUCGACAGAUUUCAUUGUGCCACUUGACUUUGUGCUGUGCAGGAGAAUCUCUGCCCACUGACCCGCCGUGGCCCCAAAAUGCAGAUGAUGAUCACAGAUGUACCAUCAGCUCUGCAAAAACCUGCUGGCAGAUGCCUUCAGGUUCACCUGGGAUUUCUGCACGUUUGGAUGGUCUUCAUCAUGGCUUCAAGAUGUAAACAUCAAAUCCUGUCACCAGUUCAGAAGCAGAAACAGGGAUGUGUUAACAGUUUAAUAUUUAAAGUCCCACUCUGAAAAUACUUUUUUUUUUUUUUAAUACAUGUUCUUGUGUCAUUUUUCUGAUAUAAAGAAAAUUGAACCAAAAGUUUCAUUUGAGUAUUUCUUUAUUCAAAUUAUUGUGAAUCAGGAGCAGAAGAGGGGAAAAAAUACAGUUUGAAAAAGAGCUUAUUUGUGACGUAGAAAAUAUGCUGAGGAGGCCACAGGGUCCCUGCAACGCUCCACGAUGGGAAGGGGGGGUGGGGUUGCUCCCCACCAAUGGUCCCAUUCACAAAUAAGAGUUGAAUUUCUAACUACUACCACUGUGAAGAAAUUGUCUUAAAAAACAAAAGUUUAUUUUUUGCUUAAACGUCACAGCCUUAAUUCAAAGACAGCUGGGAAUGCUUUUUAAAUCGAUCAAGAUUAUUGAAAUGACUUUUUUUUUUUUUUUCCAGUGUUUUUAUGUACUGAUCAUGUAUUCAACAGCAGCCUUGUCAAAUAAAUGUGUGGAUUAAAAGGUUUAGUAUCAAUUGUCUGAUAUUGAGUUGAUUUCCAGUGGAAUUACCAGAGCCGGUCUGCUAAUAAACUCAUGUUGAAGAUC